CAAGUCGAGCGCAGGAAGCCGUCUGAACCCUUCGGGGGGACGACGGUGGAAUGAGCGGCGGACGGGUGAGUAACACGUAAAGAACCUGCCCAUAGGUCUGGGAUAACCACGAGAAAUCGGGGCUAAUACCGGAUGUGUCAUCGGACCGCAUGGUCCGCUGAUGAAAGGCGCUCCGGCGUCGCCCAUGGAUGGCUUUGCGGUGCAUUAGCUAGUUGGUGGGGUAACGGCCCACCAAGGCGACGAUGCAUAGCCGACCUGAGAGGGUGAUCGGCCACACUGGGACUGAGACACGGCCCAGACUCCUACGGGAGGCAGCAGUAGGGAAUCUUCCACAAUGGACGAAAGUCUGAUGGAGCAACGCCGCGUGAACGAUGAAGGCUUUCGGGUCGUAAAGUUCUGUUGUAAGGGAAGAACAAGUGCCGCAGGCAAUGGCGGCACCUUGACGGUACCUUGCGAGAAAGCCACGGCUAACUACGUGCCAGC
rnacentral:rRNA from 1 species